AACCCUCGGGUUGCAGCCUGAGUAACAUUAGGCUGAUGGCUGGUGGCUCUUCAGGUCACCAGCCU
rnacentral:sRNA from 1 species